rnacentral:lncRNA from 1 species
CUUUUGGGUGCAAUCCUGCUGAACCGCUGCACCUAAAUAAAAUCCUCCUGUUCCACCCUAUUGGUCUUUCCCGUCUCCUGAUUCCCGCGACAUUUUGGUGAGCCAGCCAGGAGUUGGAGACAACAGGUUUGCUGUCUCCUUUGCCUGUGGGUCUGGGGCCCCAAGCCGGGGGGAGACCUAUGACCUCAGGUGCCAUCGUGGGAAGUUAACCUGGAGAAGGGAUUGGUUCUCCUGUGACCUGGUGCCCCUCCCAGUCUGCACAACGGAAUGUAAGGGGCUUCAGGAUGAUUCCAGGGACAGUGUGCUACGGGACCACGUUGCAGGAAUUGUGCCUUGGAUCCAUCACAGUUGGUUAAAACCAGAAAUCCAGGACUAGUGGACCAGCCAGCAGAACCCAGACCAUCCAAGCCGGCUGAUCCUGCGACAGGAGCGAGUUGCCACUGAGGACAACAACAGCCCUGCUCUGGUCAGUCCGGAAGCUGACCAGUCUAUACAUGGCUGAAGCUUGAGGAGGCAACAGCCCUGCUCUAGUCACCCCAGAAGCUGACUAGUCUACGCAUGGCUGAAGCUGGAGUAAAGUAAUGUGGUUGGAAAUCUUAAGUCCAAUAGCCUUCCUGAUAAUACUAAUUGUUUUACUAUUUA